UCACCCGCGGCACAUCUGUCUCCCUGAUCGGUAAUCGCGCGGCCGUCCUUCCUUGUGUCAGAAUAUUUCUCUCUCCUGCAUCUCCGGAAAACACAGCGGCGAACCCAACCGAACCACCUACCUACCUAACCAUUCUCUCUCUCUCUCUCUCUCUCUCUCUCUCUCUCUCUCUCUCUCUCUCUCUCUCUCUCUCUCUCUCUCUCUCUCUCUCUCUCGCUAGGAUGACGGGCAUUUGUCUUUCCCCGCUUAUCAUUCUCGUGCUGGUAGAUGUCCGCUCCUGUGUCCCUCAUAAACACGUCCUUGCCGAAUGUUGCCCGUAUGUUUGUGUCAGGCCGGGCUGGGCGGGGCGGGAAUGGGGGCGGAGAGUGAACAAGGGAGGGAGGGAAGCUAGGUUGGGGUGGGGUGGGGGAGGUGAAGGGAAGGGUGGGAAGCUCGUUUGAGAAAGGUAGGUUAGAUAUAUUUAUUGUAUUAUAUAUUCCACAAUACGAUAUAAUAAAACAUGAUAAAAAUAACAACGAAAUACUAUUAUCUAAGGAAUAUAGAAGCACUUGAAGAUAUUUUUUCAUUUCUAAAAGUCUUGAUUAGCCAGCUGGUGAGGUCACGGUCUCCUACCUUCUGAUUGGCUGGUGGGAGAUUUGAACCUGUCAGUGUGCCGGCGGCGGUGGUGGCAGUCGUGUCCAUUAUGGUCGUAGGUCUCGUAGUAGCGCUUAAUUGGCCUUCAAACACGACCACAGUGCGCGUAAUGUGUCGUGGAGGGAGAGAGGUGACGCGAGGAUGAUGUGGAGGGGCGAGACGACGGAGGUAGUGUGAAGACGAACGAAACAGUGAAGCGGAUAGUGAGGAUGCAGCCGGAGGGUCUAUGGACGGUACCGGUUGUCUCCGGUCCCCGUGCGGCACGCAGCGGGGGGCCAGGGCAAAAGG